AUUGAACGCUGGCGGCGUGCCUAAUACAUGCAAGUCGAACGCAGUGGGGACGGGUGAGUAACACGUGGGUAACCUCCCAUCAGAGGGGAUAACACUUGGAAACAGGUGCUAAACCGAUACUGAUGGAUGGACCCGCGGUUCAUUAGCUAGUUGGUGAGGUAACGGCUCACCAAGGCCACGAUGCAUAGCCGACCUGGGAGGUGUAUCGUCCACACUGGAACUGAGACACGGACCAGACUCCUACGUGAGGCAGCAGUAGGGAAGCGUCGGCAAGGGACGAAAGUCUGACCGAGCAACGCCUCGUGAGUGAAGAAGGUUUUCGGAUCGUAAAACUCUGUUGUUAGAGAAGCGGUAUCUAACCAGAAAGCCACGGCUAACUACGUGCCAGCAGCCGCGGUAAUUC
rnacentral:rRNA from 1 species